rfam:Salmo salar isolate Sally breed double haploid chromosome ssa15, whole genome shotgun sequence.
UGCAUUCACUACUGUAAGUCGCUCUGGAUAAGAGCGUCUGUUUAAAUGACUAAAA